rnacentral:misc_RNA from 1 species
AUGUCCACUUCCAGACGACAACCCGAGAGAACUGUUUGCAAGAUCGAACAAGAAUUGCACGCCUACAGUGAACUCCUUUUG